AUGGGGGCCCAUUUAAGCUCAGGAUGGGGCUAUGCUGUUGUGCUGUAUGGAGCCUUGUUGCUGGCUAGAGUUGUUGGGUAGCCCCCAAGCUUGGCUUGCUGCUGCUAAGAGACCUUGUUGGCAGCUCUGCCUGCUAUGUUUAGAUCCUUGUGAAGCUGAGCUCCACUGGCAGCUUCAAUUGCUGUGUUCUCUGACCAAGAAGACAAGCUUCUGACCUCUGCCACUAAUGCCAAUAGGCAAUCAGACUACAUAUAAUGCUGCAAGUAACGAUUUACUCUACUGCCUAUAAUCAAAAAUCGUACAGCAGUCCCAUCCUGAAAUUCAGCACACUGACUUUAUAAUAAGUAUGAGAUGGCUACUGAAUUAAUGUGGGAACUUGUAUUAUGUUUUUUUUUUUUUUUUUUUUUCUUUCCGAAAACCUCAACCUAUUAUCAGAACAUCCAACGUAUGUAAAAAUAUUAGAUGGCUUUUGAACACUUCUGAAAUUUUCACUGGUUAACUAAAGAAAAGAUUUCCUUAGAGUAAGUUCCAUCAUCAUCACAAAUAUUUUUCCUGCUUUACAGAAGAUAAACAUUUUGAAAGAAGGAAAAGAUGGAAUAAGAACUUGUGUGUCUAGGGCCCGAAUGUCUUUAUGUAUUCUGACAAUUCCUAUUCAGUUUACAGACAGGUUCAGAGGUGAAAACAAUUGCUCAGUACUGAAAAGCUGGAAAAAAUAACACUUCCAAAUUAAAAUGUUAGUCAAACUGAGUAUUGAUGUUGACAUUGAUUAAGCCACCAGCUUUAAAGAAAAUUUUCAGAUCUUCAAGUUUUGUGAAAGUACUGGUAUUCCAGCAGGAUCAACCCCAUGGGGUAUGUUUGUUCCUCUCUGCCUGAAUAUACUGUUAUGCCUAAGUAAACUAUUAUGUUUAAGCAUCCUCUUCAUAUACCAUCAAGUUAAGGUUGUUAUAGACGUCUUAUGCUUCCCAGUUUCAAAAUUGGACUUCAAUAAGGGGGAAAGAAGUAGAGGGAGGAACAAAUUGGAAUGAUGUUUGAUGGGAAGUUGUUUUUUGUUGAUAAUGGCCUAAGAAUACACUCUCAUAAGGAUCCCUUUUUUGUGUUUCCAGAAUCCUGUUGUGCUCCUGCCUAAAUAUAAGUACCUAGUGGCCUAAUGUUCUUCUGUUAUUGAAACAUAACAGCACUGAAAGUGUGAUGUAAUCUCUGAAGGCUGGAAAAACAAAGGAAAGACACUUUUUUAGAUUGUUUUCUCAUUCUGCUAUACUGGAAAACACCAGAAUGAUGUUGCUAAGUAUCUUGAUCCAGUAGACCAAGAUUUUUUCUUGUCUCUAAUAUAUCUAAACAUUACAUCUACCUAAUUGUUCUAAAGAAAUACGUAUUUUUCAAGGUAACUACACUAUUAUUCUGAUAUUGCACUACUUGGGAUAUUUAUUUCUCUUCAAAGUAUAGCAGACAAAAAUUAUUUAUGAACCACAGCCUGUGCUAUGUUUCUUGCUGUUUUUGCCUCGACCUCAGUAGUACUUAGUAGUCAGGUAUCAACUAAUUUCACUGUGAUCUCUGGUUAUUCAGGCCUCCAGAAAAUUACAUUUCAUGUCAUUUGUAUUGAAAACAUACAUAGAAUUUCCGGAUGUUGAUGCACAGGUAACAACUUUGCAGGGCAAAAUGUAGAACUUCUGAUUUUCAGAUGUUCAUCUGGUGGCAAGAUUUAGCUCUGGAAGUAAGCACUUCACAUUACGAGGUAUAAUUACUAAGCUGCCAACCUAUCUACUUAUUAGAAUGACAAUUAGUGUGCUACCUUUUGUGCUAGUUGUGUUUAGCACUUGAAGGAAUAUAGGGUCUAUGCUGACCACACAAAUACUAAGAUGUGAGUUAGACUCUCUAUUCAGUUCCAUUUAGUGUUUUUGAUACUACAACAAUUACAUAGAGGAAAAAUAAAACUUCCUUGCAGAAAUCUUAAUAUACAGUGCCGCAGUAUGAAAAAUAGAAGAGAAUAAUAUUCUAAAACUGCCAUUAAGAACUUGAACCCAACUGAAAAGAAACUCUGGCUCAGUAUAACAGCAUACUGAAUAAUCACUUCUUCAAACAUCCAAGUGAUCAACUUUUAUUCUUCUGUAAUCUUCUUUAUUUGUUCCUGUUCCAUACAAGACAACCCACGUUUUACACGUAACACAAUGUCUGUUUAUGGAUUUACAUUGCAUUAAGAAAAGGGAAGUAAUUAUCUACUGUCAUAUGCCCCAUCAAAAUUAGUCAGUUCAUUUGGUUGGUUUUAGCUAUACAACAGCUAAAAUAUAUAUACAGCUAUACAGAAAAAUAGGAAAUCAAUUGAAUUGCUAAUAUGCUUUGAUCUAAUAUGUGUUUUGAUUAAACUGGGGUAACAUACUGUAAUUCAAUCCACAGAUUUCAUUAAAAAAAAAAAAAAGCCACCUUUCUAAACUGUGGCUUCCAUUUGAGAUGUUGGGGUAUAAAUCCUUUAAGUAGGGAAGACCAAAAUCAACUGUAAUUCAGUUUUCAGAUAAAACAAAUACAUUUUUGUCUGAAAAGAUUAACAUAUUCAUUUUUCCUGCCAUUUAUCUUAAACAUUGUCAUUCUGUUUAUCUUACUAGACAUUCUGUCAUUGUAAAUAACUGUAAGACUUUCAGACUUCUAGCACUACAAAAGAGAUGUUCCUGCGGUAAAUUGCAAACACCAUCUAAAAGCACAGGAUGUACUAUUUCAGGCUACUAUGAAAUAAAAUUACUCCAUAUUGUACCUGUUGCUUUUAGGAGAAAUUUAGGGUGGUAGAUGUAAUAACAACAGAAUAAUUUAGUGGUUGGAGUACAUAAAAGAUGUAUUCUUGGCACUGUCAGUUAGGUGGGUAUAUUUAUCUCAGACUCAAUUCCUUCAUACAACUCUUGAAGUAGGUCAAUAUUACCUUUUAAAAACAGUUAGAGAUCAUCCACUGAAAUACCGUAAUAACUUCAGAUGAUUAUAUUACAAUCAUCACAAGUUCACAGUAAGAAGUGAUAAAACAGCUCUGAUAUCCAUUAUUAAGAAAAAAAAAAAAA